GACGAACGCUGGCGGCGUGCUUAACACAUGCAAGUCGAACGCUGAAGCUCAGCUUUUGUUGGGUGGAUGAGUGGCGAACGGGUGAGUAACACGUGAGUAACCUGCCCCCUUCUUUGGGAUAACGCCCGGAAACGGGUGCUAAUACUGGAUAUUCACUGGUCUUCGCAUGGGGGUUGGUGGAAAGGGUUUUUCUGGUGGGGGAUGGGCUCGCGGCCUAUCAGCUUGUUGGUGGGGUGAUGGCCUACCAAGGCUUUGACGGGUAGCCGGCCUGGGAGGGUGACCGGUCACAUUGGGACUGAGGUACGGCCCAGACUGCUACGGGAGGCAGCAGUGGGGGAUAUUGCACAAUGGGCGCAAGCCUGAUGCGGCGACGCCGCGGGAGGAAUGGAGGCCUGCGGGUUGUGAACCUCUUUCGCUCAUGGUCAAGCCGCAACAAUGGUUGUGGUGAGGGUAGUGGGUAAAGAAGCGCCGGCUAACUACGUG
rnacentral:rRNA from 1 species